rnacentral:rRNA from 1 species
UUAGACGGGACCCGCACAAGCGGUGGAUGAUGUGGAUUAAUUCGAUGCAACGCGAAAACCUUACCUACCUUGACAUGUCCGGAAUCCCGAAGAGAUUUGGGAGUGCUCGCAAGAGAGCCGGAACACGAGGUGCUGCAUGGCUGUCGUCAGCUCGUGUCGUGAGAUGUUGGUUAAGUCCCGCAACGAGCGCAACCCUUGUCAUUAGUUGCCAUCAUUUGGUUGGGCACUCUAAUGAGACUGCCGGUGACAAACCGGAGGAAGGUGGGGAUGACGUCAAGUCCUCAUGGCCCUUAUGGGUAGGGCUUCACACGUCAUACAAUGGUCGGUACAGAGGGUUGCCAACCCGCGAGGGGGAGCUAAUCCCACAAAGCCGAUCGUAGUCCGGAUCGCAGUCUGCAACUCGACUGCGUGAAGUCGGAAUCGCUAGUAAUCGUGGAUCAGCAUGUCACGGUGAAUACGUUCCCGGGCCUU